rnacentral:rRNA from 1 species
CGAUGCUACUAGAAAAUCGACAGACCACACACUGACACACCUGAACACACACACACACACACAAAAAAGCUGCCUUUGAUGGCCACCAAGGCCCCGAGCUGCUCCACCCGCUUCAGAUCUCCGGCCAGCGCCGUUUGGUUCCUGCCGGCCGCCGUCUUCAUCCUCCUCCUCCUCCUUCUGGGCCGCCCGACCAUGGACCCCUACGCUCCCGCCACCCCUCCUGGUCCCGUGUCUUCCCGGCGCGCCGAUCUGUACGGCAGGAUGGCGCGGGACCUUGACGAGCGCGGCGCGGCCUUCUUGAAGGGCGGCGAGACAUCGCAGUCCCUCACGCUCUCGGACCUCUUCGAGGUCAGGGACGGCGCCGUCGUGCCCAGGCUCAAGGUGAAGGCUUCUCGCCCCCUGCUCUCGCCGUCGUGGCACGCAUGAAUUUCUGAAAGUGUGACCGCUCUGCUGCUCAUCUCAUCAGGCCGUCGACCCGCCGGUGCGUGCAAACGUGCUCUACCUGGACCCGGUGUUCGCCGCCGAGAUAGCGAAGGCUGUGAAGGAAGUAUUUCUUCCUUAUUUUGAUAAAGCUAUUUGGUUCCAAAAUUCGAGCAUGUACCACUUUAGUAUGUUUCAUGCCUCCCAUCAUCUGGAGCCAAUCUUAGCAACCAAGGAUGAGAUUGAAGCCGAAGUCGAUGCUGUAAAAGGAGUUACUGAGGCUGUUUGCCCCCUUAAAAUUUCUUUGGAUCGAGUGGUCUUGACAUCAACUGGAGUUCUUCUUGGCUUGUGGCAGGUUGAAUCUGGUACUGAUCCUGCCGACAUCCGCUCAAAAUUGAGAGAAGCUCUCCCUCGAGCACCCCAAAAGCAGUUGUAUGAUCCUGUUCUCCUCCACACAUCCUUUGCGCGAAUUCUGGGACCUCCUAAGCUCCCACAACAGGAGGACACGUCAUCUUUCAGUCACAUCAAAUUCUUCCAUGACCUCGUUGCACAGGUUAAUGGGAAAAUCCGUGGCUUCCAGGCAAAGGUAUCAGAGUUGUGGUAUGUAGAAGAGUACGAUGUGCUAGCCCUAGCACUGAAUGGAAAGAUGAGAGUGCGGAGGCUCCACCUUGGCUGCAAUGAGGGCCAAGAUAACUGAUGACAGUAAAGAGAACACCACCAGGGUAUCAGUGCGCAAUGCAUCGUCUUUAUGAGUUAGCAAUGCUUGGGAGUGCCUCUAUGAUUAACAUAUACUAGUGUGUGCCUGUAGCGCGCUACUACUACUUAACAGUAGCAUUGGGUAGGGAUCUACCUAUAAGGUAUUUCCUCGUAGCGUUUUGCAGUGAGCUGCUUAUUUUUACUCGGCAAACCUUUUGCCGAGUAGCUGACAAAUAACACUCAGCUUAUGUCGUUAUGCCUACCAGGAGUAUGCCGAGUCCUUUUUGUCGAGUGUAACACCCGAUAACUUUUUGCCGAGGUUAAAUUUAGCUUUCACGGUGUAGUCUUCGUACUUGACUUUCACGUUUUUUCCUGUAAUGAAAGAGAGGAAGUGUUGAUAGCAACGGAUUCCUUGAUCAAAAUCGGACGACAAGGAUCCCAUCGCGCUGGAUGACUUAGCGAACUACAGCUGCCACAUCAUUUAUGCGUGUGACCGAACAGCUGGCGUCGCGUUCAUGUCCAGGUGAGCGAACGUUCGCUCAAUAGUAUUUCCGCUCAAACUUUGGCUCUAUUUUUCUUUUUUCUUUUAAAGAUAAGUUCGGCUCUAUUUUUCUGAUGUGUUUCGCUUUAGGGUUGUUUAUUUGCGUAGGACUGUCGGGGGAUAAUUGGAUCGAGUAGGAGUUGUUACGUGGAAGAGGGGCUAGCUAGCUGCGCGAUCCUUUGGCUAGGUGAUGAGGAAGAAAUUGACACGGCCAGGUGAUGAGGAAGAAAUUGACACGGCCGGCCGUUGUAUGGGAGCACGGCCAGAGAUGGACUUCGAUAAGGUCUGCACCCAAAUCACAUGGUUCGGCCACCCUAUUCUCAUCCGAUAUAACUACCAAAAGGGCCCGUGCGUUGCAACGAAAGAAUUUUUUUUUGAUAAUCUUCAA